rnacentral:rRNA from 1 species
GACGAACGCUGGCGGCGUGCUUAACACAUGCAAGUCGAACGCUGAAGCUCAGCUUUUGUUGGGUGGAUGAGUGGCGAACGGGUGAGUAACACGUGAGUAACCUGCCUCCUUCUUUGGGAUAACGCCCGGAAACGGGUGCUAAUACUGGAUAUUCACUGGUCUUCGCAUGGGGGUUGGUGGAAAGGGUUUUUCUGGUGGGGGAUGGGCUCGCGGCCUAUCAGCUUGUUGGUGGGGUGAUGGCCUUCCAAGGCUUUGACGGGUAGCCGGCCUGAGAGGGUGACCGGUCACAUUGGGACUGAGAUACGGCCCAGACUCCUACGGGAGGCAGCAGUGGGGAAUAUUGCACAAUGGGCGCAAGCCUGAUGCAGCGACGCCGCGUGAGGGAUGGAGGCCUUCGGGUUGUGAACCUCUUUCGCUCAUGGUCAAGCCGCAACAAUGGUUGUGGUGAGGGUAGUGGGUAAAGAAGCGCCGGCUAACUACGUG